CGAGUCUCCAAUUCCUGCCAGAAGGGGUUCUCUUUCGUAUCUCACAUUCCAUGCAUCUAGAUAAAUGAUGAAGUCAUCUUAAGAGAAUAAAACAAACAAGGUAUGUACUUCAAAUAACGCUUUAACUGCUUUUCUUCUAAUUCAAUAAAAAAAAACUGAAAUUCACUGUCCAAAUAAACUGAAAUACACAUUUUCAUCCAAAAUGCAUAGCAUUUUCAUUGAAUGCUUCUUCCCAGAUCAUGCUCUCUGUUGUUCAGCAUUUUAUUUUAUAAUUCAUAUUCAUUUUUGGCACACUAUCAAUAAUCGAAACAUUUCAAGCUCAAUUUUGUCGUUUUGGGUUCUCCAUUAAUAUUUCAUCUCAUUUCUAAUUGAAGAAUUUACAAUUGGUGGCAGGGGAAGUGAUGAUAUCUGGGAGAUGUUGCUCAAGCAACAGUUGCUCCCUUCCACUCUUUACACUCUCCACAUCUAUAGACUAUCAAGUCUGAAAUCUUUGCACAGAAAGGGACUUAAAAACAUCACUUCUCUUUCCUUUCUGAGUAUCUCCAAGUGUUUUUCCCGGUAGAAAAGGUAUAAGAAGAUGACAGGAAAAGAUUGGGCCAACAUAUCUCACAUUCCUUGCAUCA
rnacentral:lncRNA from 1 species